rnacentral:rRNA from 1 species
UGAGCAAUCUGCCCUUCUCUUCGGAAUAAGCGUUGGAAACGACGUCUAAUGCCGAAUACGACCUCCUUUCACAUGAUCGGAGGUGGAAAGCUCCGGCGGAGAAGGAUGAGCUCGCGGCCUAUCAGCUAGUUGGUGUGGGUAAUGGCUCACCAAGGCGACGGACGGGUAGCCGGCCUGAGGAGGGUGACCCGGCCACACGUGGGACUGAGACACGGUCCAGACUCCGUACGGGAGCAG